AUUGAACGCUGGCGGCAUGCCUUACACAUGCAAGUCGAACGGCAGCACGGGAGCAAUCCUGGUGGCGAGUGGCGAACGGGUGAGUAAUAUAUCGGAACGUGCCCAGUCGUGGGGGAUAACGCAGCGAAAGCUGUGCUAAUACCGCAUACGAUCUCUGGAUGAAAGCGGGGGACCGCAAGGCCUCGCGCAAUUGGAGCGGCCGAUAUAAGAUGAGCUAGUUGGUGGGGUAAAAGCUUACCCAGGCGACGAUCUGUAGCUGGUCUGAGAGGACGACCAGCCACACUGGAACUGAGACACGGUCCAGACUCCUACGGGAGGCAGCAGUGGGGAAUUUUGGACAAUGGGCGCAAGCCUGAUCCAGCAAUGCCGCGUGCAGGAUGAAGGCCUUCGGGUUGUAAACUGCUUUUGUACGGAACGAAACGGCCCUUUCUAAUACAAAGGGCUAAUGACGGUACCGUAAGAAUAAGCACCGGCUAACUACGUGCCAGCCGCCGCAGUAAGAC
rnacentral:rRNA from 1 species